GGAGAGGUGCCGGAGUGGUCGAACGGGACGGAUUCGAAAUCCGUUGUACCUCCUGGGUACCGUGGGUUCGAAUCCCACCCUCUCCG
rnacentral:tRNA from 1 species